rnacentral:rRNA from 1 species
GACGAACGCUGGCGGCGCGCUUAACACAUGCAAGUCGAGCGAUGAAAUUUCGACAGAUCCCUUCGGGGUGAAGAUGAAAUGGAUUAGCGGCGGACGGGUGAGUAACACGUGAGUAACCUGCCUUUGACAUUGGGAUAGCCUCGGGAAACUGGGAUUAAUACCAAAUGACACUAACUGAUCACAUGAUCAAUUAGUCAAAGAAAUUCGGUCAAAGAUGGACUCGCGGCUGAUUAGCUAGUUGGUGAGGUAACGGCCCACCAAGGCGACGAUCAGUAGCCGGCCUGAGAGGGUGAUCGGCCACAUUGGAACUGAGACACGGUCCAAACUCCUACGGGAGGCAGCAGUGGGGAAUAUUGCACAAUGGGGGAGACCCUGAUGCAGCGACGCCGCGUGAGCGAAGAAGGCCUUCGGGUCGUAAAGCUCUUUUAUGAGGGAAGAUAAUGACGGUACCUCAAGAAAAAGCCCCGGCUAACUACGUG